CUCAAUUGUUUCAUGAGUGGGAAUUCCAUCUCCAUCACUAGACUGUGAGCUUUGCCAGGAGGUAGAGCAUAUUUUAGACAUUGUUUACUGUUCACACUCCUGCAGUAGUGCCUGGUACAGUGUGAUGUUCAAUGAGUGCUUACGCAGAAAGAAAAGAAGAUAGGAAGGAAAAAGAAAGGAAGGUAACAUUUUGAAUUAAAAAAUGAAUCUUUCAUUGUUUCCAUUUCCAACAGUACCAAUCAUGCUGUGGACACUUAAAUAAGAAUCUUCGCUCAACUGGCCAAACAGAAAAAAAAACAUGGGCUUUAGAAUUAUGUAUCACCUUGCCAACAUUACAGUGAAGCUCACAUGAGAUCCUGAAACUGCCCUCAGUGAAGAAACUAAAGCUCAUCAGAUUACCGUGUCCAGAAAGUGAGACACCAGCUCCCCCUAUCCAUCAUGACUGCUUCCUUACCACUCCCUAAUUCCUGUUUUUCCACCUUUCCUGCCAUAUAAACCCCACCAUUUUAGUUGGGUAGAAGAUGGAUUUGCUACUUUAUCUCCUGUUAUCUUUGGCUGCAGCACCAGAUUAAAGCCUUCUUCCCUGACAAUACUCCUUGUCUCAGUGAUUGGCAUUCAUGCCACAAGCAGCAGGACCUAUACUGAACCCCUGGAGUUUUGGUGACAUUAUGAUUACCAGGAUAAGAGACAGCAGCUACUAAUGAAACAUAAAUCAGUGUGGCCGAGGAUGUCAUGCAAAGAAAUGGUCCUUUGCUCAAUCCAGGUGAAAGGUAAAAUAUUCACAACAGUAAUAGAUCUUAUACAAGUACCAGCAGGAAGCUAACUGAAUGAUUGAUUAACAACUCAUGGAGUCAUUUUUUCACUUCCAACAAAUAUUUUUCCUGCUGGCAGAAUGUCUGUAUUUCAAAUAUAGUAACAUUUUAACUGUGUAUCUUACCUACACUCUUUUAAGGAUACAAAUUCCUUGUCAUGUCAACCAAUUGUUUUACUAAUUUCAUAUUGCUUACUUUGACCUCCUUUUUUUUCAAAAUUGUACGCAAGAAUCAAGAUCUGAAAUCCUAAGUCCAAUUUUAACAGCUGGUAGCUGUAUCAUGAAGCCUAAAAGAAAAACCCCACAAAACCCUGUUUGAUAAGAUUAACCAAAUUGAGUAAAUCAGUGAAUUGUUAUGGACAAUAUCUACAUCUUUUUAAAUCUGUGCCUUAUAAAUUUUAAUAAAAUAUAGGAGCUUAGUUUCAUGUGAUAUUUCACCUAAUUUCCCUCCUACUGCUUUUUCAUGUGUGAAACCAUUUUUCUCUGCUAGGUAUCUAAGAGGUAGUGUUGAGUAAUACUUGUCUUCCAUUUUCCAUUAGUCAAAUCAUGUGGCUAUGGUAUUAAAAGAAUGAAUAAAAGGAUCUUUUUAGAAGGCAAAUAAGAUAUAAUAAAUCAGUAACAAAG
rnacentral:lncRNA from 1 species